CGGCGUGCUUAACACAUGCAAGUCGAACGAUGAAGCCCAGCUUGCUGGGUGGAUUAGUGGCGAACGGGUGAGUAACACGUGAGUAACCUGCCCUUAACUCUGGGAUAAGCCUGGGAAACUGGGUCUAAUACCGGAUAGGAGCGUCCACCGCAUGGUGGGUGUUGGAAAGAUUUAUCGGUUUUGGAUGGACUCGCGGCCUAUCAGCUUGUUGGUGAGGUAAUGGCUCACCAAGGCGACGACGGGUAGCCGGCCUGAGAGGGUGACCGGCCACACUGGGACUGAGACACGGCCCAGACUCCUACGGGAGGCAGCAGUGGGGAAUAUUGCACAAUGGGCGCAAGCCUGAUGCAGCGACGCCGCGUGAGGGAUGACGGCCUUCGGGUUGUAAACCUCUUUCAGUAGGGAAGAAGCGAAAGUGACGGUACCUGCAGAAGAAGCACCGGCUAACUAC
rnacentral:rRNA from 1 species